GACGUAGGGCGCGAGCGUUGUCCGGAUUUAUUGGGCGUAAAGAGCUCGUAGGCGGCUUGUCGCGUCGAAUGUGAAAACUCGGGGCUCAACCCCGCGCUUGCAUUCGAUACGGGCAGGCUCGAGUUCGGUAGGGGAGACUGGAAUUCCUGGUGUAGCGGUGAAAUGCGCAGAUAUCAGGAGGAACACCGGUGGCGAAGGCGGGUCUCUGGGCCGAUACUGACGCUGAGGAGCGAAAGCGUGGGGAGCGAA
rnacentral:rRNA from 1 species